rnacentral:rRNA from 1 species
AAUACGGAGGAUGCGAGCGUUAUCCGGAUUUAUUGGGUUUAAAGGGUGCGUAGGUGGUGAUUUAAGUCAGCGGUGAAAGUUUGUGGCUCAACCAUAAAAUUGCCGUUGAAACUGGGUUACUUGAGUGUGUUUGAGGUAGGCGGAAUGCGUGGUGUAGCGGUGAAAUGCAUAGAUAUCACGCAGAACUCCGAUUGCGAAGGCAGCUUACUAAACCAUAACUGACACUGAAGCACGAAAGCGUGGGGAUCAAACAGGAUUAGAUACCCUGGUAGUCCACGCAGUAAACGAUGAUUACUAGGAGUUUGCGAUACAAUGUAAGCUCUACAGCGAAAGCGUUAAGUAAUCCACCUGGGGAGUACGCCGGCAACGGUGAAACUCAAAGGAAUUGACGGGGGCCCGCACAAGCGGAGGAACAUGUGGUUUAAUUCGAUGAUACGCGAGGAACCUUACCCGGGUUUGAACGUAGUCUGACCGGAGUGGAAACACUCCUUCUAGCAAUAGCAGAUUACGAGGUGCUGCAUGGUUGUCGUCAGCUCGUGCCGUGAGGUGUCGGCUUAAGUGCCAUAACGAGCGCAACCCUUAUCACUAGUUACUAACAGGUGAAGCUGAGGACUCUGGUGAGACUGCCAGCGUAAGCUGUGAGGAAGGUGGGGAUGACGUCAAAUCAGCACGGCCCUUACAUCCGGGGCGACACACGUGUUACAAUGGCAUGGACAAAGGGCAGCUACCUGGCGACAGGAUGCUAAUCUCCAAACCAUGUCUCAGUUCGGAUCGGAGUCUGCAACUCGACUCCGUGAAGCUGGAUUCGCUAGUAAUCGCGCAUCAGCCAUGGCGCGGUGAAUACGUU